ensembl:snRNA U6 U6 spliceosomal RNA
GGGCUCACUUUGGCAGCACACAUACUAACACGGGGACGGUAGAGAGGGUUAGCACGGCCCCUGCCCAAGGCUGACACGCAAAUUCGUGAAGCAUUCCGUAUUUUU